rfam:Picea glauca, whole genome shotgun sequence.
AAUGUGUUAAUAAUCACCUAACCUAGAGCUUGAAUCUACACCCCCUAACCUUCUAAAUCAUCGACCCAUAACCCAUAACCCUUCUAAAGACGCAAUGUGAUUUAUUCCCAUUGCUCUACAUGUCAAAGUGGAUAAAUUCAACCAAGCACGGGUAAACGACAUGAGUAACUAUGACUCUCUUAAGGUAGUCGAAUGCCUCGUCAUCUAAUUAGUGGCGUGCAUGAAUGGAUCAUUAACGAGAUUCCCCACUGUCCCUAGCUACUAUAUUCUAGAGAAACCACAUCUAAGGGAAAGGGAUUGACAGAAUUAGCGGGGAAAGAAGACCAUGUUGAGCUUGACUCUAGUCCUAACCCAUUCAUAGUUUGGGAAAAUUAGGGCACAAUUUGGGAAAAUUAGACCAUAACAUUUGUCUUUGGGAGUCAAAUUGAUGAUGGAAACAAGUGGGUGUCAGUCAAAUUUGAGUCUAGAAACCCUCUCAUAUCGUUAAGCCAUGCAAAUAGUCUAUCUACGAUCAUGAUGGUAUAAAAAUGAAUGAGCUUCUCUUGGUUUCAAGAAUAAUUUAUCCUCUACUGAACAAGGCCAACCAUGUG